AGGAGAGCAGGCUUAGGUCCACGACGGAUCCAGGGUGAAGUCCUUGCUCUGCUUCUUGUAUGACCAAGGACAAGUUCUGGAGUGAUUUUCCUUAACCUUCCAUUUCCUCAUCUAUAAAUGUUUCCCCACAAAGCAGUUGAGUGGAUUAAAUAUGCCUCUGGUGCAUCGUCUAGCCUACAGUGUAGACUCAAAACGUUACCUGAUGUUACUGAUUCAACACCAUUAAAGAGUUUUUUAUAAAUACCCUUGACUGAGUUCCUACAGGAAUCAUCUCUAGAAAGAACAAGACGUCCUAGGGCCUCCGGAGUGCUGGAGACUCAAAGAUGUUGGAAAAAAAUGUCUGAAGCCCAAGCCUUGCAGUUUCCUAUGUAUCAUCAACUGUGUAAGGCAGAAUCACGGUCCUCCAAAGAUGUCAAUAUGAGAAACCCAAUCAUCUGCAGGCAUCAUCUCACCCAGAAAUAAAAACUUUGCCAACAGAGGCUUGAGGUAGAAGAAACCAUCAAGAUUCAUCAGUCUAAUGACACAGGUUUUUAAAAUAGAGAACGUUUCUGAGCAGCACAGAGCUAGAAGGGGGAUGGUGUGAGAAGCUUUACCAUCGCCAACACUGAAGAUGGAGGGAGGCACCCAUAAACCCAGGGUGUAAGAAACCUCAAGACAGG
rnacentral:lncRNA from 1 species